CCAACCUGGUUGAUCCUGCCAGUAGUCAUAUGCUUGUCUCAAAGAUUAAGCCAUGCAUGUCUCAGUAUAAGCUUCUAUACGGCGAAACUGCGAAUGGCUCAUUAAAACAGUUAUAGUUUAUUUGAUGGUCAUUCUUUACAUGGAUAACUUUGGAAAUUCUAGAGCUAAUACAUGCGCCCAAACCCGACUUCUUG
rnacentral:rRNA from 1 species